rnacentral:rRNA from 1 species
AUUGAACGCUGGCGGCAGGCCUAACACAUGCAAGUCGAACGAGUGGCGGACGGGUGAGUCAUGUCUGGGAACCUGCUCGAAGGCGGGGGAUAACUACUGGAAACGGUAGCUAAUACCGCAUACCAUCGGAUGAGCCCAGAUGGGAUUAGCUAGUAGGUGGGGUAACGGCUCACCUAGGCAACGAUCCCUAGCUGGUCUGAGAGGAUGAACAGCCACACUGGAACUGAGACACGGUCCAGACUCCUACGGGAGGCAGCAGUGGGGAAUAUUGCACAAUGGGCGCAAGCCUGAUGCAGCCAUGCCGCGUGUAUGAAGAAGGCCUUCGGGUUGUAAAGUUCUUUCAGCGAGGAAGCGUUACUCGCAGAAGAAGCACCGGCUAACUCCGUGCCAGCAGCCGCGGUAAUUC